UAGUAUAUAUAUUUCGUCGCAUUUGAAAGUAUAAGACCAACAACAGUUCAUACCAAAGCGGGAUACACAAAACCGGAACAAAGAGAACAAGAAAAAUAUAUAGUUGCUUUGACAGAAAGAAUCAGUAACAGCAUUAACAGCAACCACUACCAACACAAUGCUAUCUACACGAACAAUCCUGGUCUGCGUCGUCUUGGUGUCCGUGAUGCUGUACGCAGAGGGACGCAUGUGUCAAAUGGACCCGGCCACCAUGUCAUGCACGGAUGUUGUGCCGCGAGGGGGUCCGAAUAAGGGCGUGUCCAUGUGCUCGAAAAUAGGAAAACAAUGCCAAUUGAAAAUACGACGCAAGUCAAUUCAGUGCAUGUGCGGAGGGGAACCUGAUGGACAUCCGCUGCAUUAGGAUUAUAAGUGGUUUAAGGUCCGAGGUAUGGUCUAACGUAAUAAACGCUGUUUCAAAACGGGUUUCAGAACGAAUGACUGCAAAUCGAAUGAUGGAAAUAUGAUGGACAAGAGUUAAUUGCUUAAACUGUACGGUAAAUGAGGGAAAUGAUAGAAAUGAUGUUAAUAAGUCACCAACAACUUGCAGGGCCGGUUUUAUGUGAAAUACUCUUUUGAAUGACUGUAGGAAUUUUUAUGAACAUGUCAUUUUAAUAUGUCCUUUAAAGUCUCAACAACUGAGUCCCUGGCGGGUAUGAUUGUUUUUAUAUGAGCGCGGUGAAAUGCUCAUUUUCUUGUGCGAACUUUGCACCUUCCAUCUUGUGAAUUUCCAUUGUCUUAAUAGUUGUAUGAAUUACAUACUUGUUUUGAGAUACACAGUAUUAUUUAUUUACUUUACAAGUGUGUUGGAAUAUUUUUUAAGGUGAUACAUAUGAUGCCUUCAUACAAGAUUAUCGUGGUAUUUAUUUGUUUUGUAUAUGUAUUGUUUUUAUGUUAUUUAUUAAGUUUUUACAUUGUGAUGUUUUACUUUUUUACGUGAUUUGUUAUAUACAUUCACACUAAUGAUGCUGAAUAAAGUGCCUUUUUACAUUUCUGAAUAAAAUCUUACUUCCAUAAUCAUCAACUUACGUUAUAUUUGCCACUUUCAAAUUGAAAUGCAUACAUUUGUAUAACCGCCGACCUCUUAUAAUAUUUAGACUUUAUGUUCAUUUCUAAAAACAAUUAGUGUUGAUCUGUAGUGUUUUAUAUUUUUUAUAUUGUUUUCGGAUAUUGCUGAAUUAAAUAUUAACAAGG